GAUGAACGCUGGCGGCGUGCCUAAUACAUGCAAGUCGAGCGAACAGACGAGGAGCUUGCUCCUCUGACGUUAGCGGCGGACGGGUGAGUAACACGUGGAUAACCUACCUAUAAGACUUGGAUAACUUCGGGAAACCGGAGCUAAUACCGGAUAAUAUAUUGAACCGCAUUGUUCAAUAGUGAAAUACUGUUUUGCUGUCACUUAUCGAUGGAUCCGCGCCGCAUUAGCUAGUUGGUAAGGUAACGGCUUACCAAGGCAACGAUGCGUAGCCGACCUGAGAGGGUGAACGGCCACACAGGAAGUGAGACACGGUACAGACUACUACGGGAGGCAGCAGUAGGGAAGGGUGCGCAAUGGGCGAAAGACUGACGGAGCAACGCCGGGUGAGUGAAGAAGGGCUUCGGAUCGUAAAACUGUGUUAUGAGGGAAGAACAAAUGUGUAAGUAAAUAUGCACGUGUGGACGGUACCUAAGCAGAAAGCCACGGCUAACUAGGG
rnacentral:rRNA from 1 species